CAGCAGCCGCCGCGGUAAUACGUAGGGUGCAAGCGUUAAUCGGAAUUACUGGGCGUAAAGCGUGCGCAGGCGGUUAUAUAAGACAGAUGUGAAAUCCCCGGGCUCAACCUGGGAACUGCAUUUGUGACUGUAUAGCUAGAGUACGGCAGAGGGGGAUGGAAUUCCGCGUGUAGCAGUGAAAUGCGUAGAUAUGCGGAGGAACACCGAUGGCGAAGGCAAUCCCCUGGGCCUGUACUGACGCUCAUGCACGAAAGCGUGGGGAGCAAACAGGAUUAGAUACCCCCGUAGUCCCUGUCUCUUAUAC
rnacentral:rRNA from 1 species